rnacentral:pre_miRNA from 1 species
GGAAACUUGGAAACGAUAUGGAUCGAGAAAUGGACAUUCGAGAUUUGUCCACGUCACCAUGAGUUAAAAUUUAACUCCCAAUAAAAUUUUAACUCAUGAGUGCAUCAGCGAGUUAAAUUUUUAACUCAUGGUGAUGUGGACGAAUCUCGGACGUCCAUUUCUCGAUCCAACGGUAGUUUCCAAGUUUCC